GUGUUCACUUCAGCAGCACAUAUUCUAAAAGUGGAAUGAUACAGAGAAGGUUAGCCUGGUCCCUGAACAAGGAUGACAUUUGUGAAGCAGUCCAUAUUUUA
rnacentral:snRNA from 1 species